UGGCGACCAUAGCAUUAUGGACCCACCUGAUCCCUUGCCGAACUCAGUAGUGAAACGUAAUAGCGCCGAUGGUAGUGUGGGGUCUCCCCAUGUGAGAGUAGGACAUCGCCAGGCU
rnacentral:rRNA from 1 species